rnacentral:rRNA from 1 species
CAGCCGCCGCGGGAAUACAGAGGGUGCGAGCGUUAAUCGGAUUUACUGGGCGUAAAGCGUGCGUAGGCGGCUUUUUAAGUCGGAUGUGAAAUCCCUGAGCUUAACUUAGGAAUUGCAUUCGAUACUGGGAAGCUAGAGUAUGGGAGAGGAUGGUAGAAUUCCAGGUGUAGCGGUGAAAUGCGUAGAGAUCUGGAGGAAUACCGAUGGCGAAGGCAGCCAUCUGGCCUAAUACUGACGCUGACGUACGAAAGCAUGGGGAGCAAACAGGAUUAGAUACCCCGGUAGUCCCUGUCUCUUAUAC